CACGUAGGGCGCAAGCGUUGUCCGGAAUUAUUGGGCGUAAAGAGCUCGUAGGCGGUCUGUUGCGUCCGCUGUGAAAACUCGGGGCUUAACCCUGGGCUGGCUUUCGAUACGGGCAGACUAGAGGUAUGCAGGGGAGAACGGAAUUCCUGGUGUAGCGGUGAAAUGCGCAGAUAUCAGGAGGAACACCGGUGGCGAAGGCGGUUCUCUGGGCAUUACCUGACGCUGAGGAGCGAAAGUGUGGGGAGCGAACAGG
rnacentral:rRNA from 1 species